rnacentral:rRNA from 1 species
GAUGAACGCUGACAGAAUGCUUAACACAUGCAAGUCUACUUGAACUUCGGUUUGGGUGGCGGACGGGUGAGUAACGCGUAAAGAACUUGCCUCACAGAUAGGGACAACAUUUGGAAACGAAUGCUAAUACCUGAUAUUAUGAUUUUAGGGCAUCCUAGAAUUAUGAAAGCUAUAUGCACUGUGAGAGAGCUUUGCGUCCCAUUAGCUAGUUGGAGAGGUAACGGCUCACCAAGGCGAUGAUGGGUAGCCGGCCUGAGAGGGUGAUCGGCCACAAGGGGACUGAGACACGGCCCUUACUCCUACGGGAGGCAGCAGUGGGGAAUAUUGGACAAUGGACCAAGAGUCUGAUCCAGCAAUUCUGUGUGCACGAUGAAGUUUUUCGGAAUGUAAAGUGCUUUCAGUUGGGAAGGAAAAAAUGACGGUACCAACAGAAGAAGUGACGGCUAAAUACGUG